ensembl:lncRNA
GCACAGUAUCACAGUUUAUCGUGAUAUAAUUGUGAUCCAUGUAUCGUGAUACGUUUCAUAUGCCAAUACACACCCCUACCUUGUAAAGGAGUAUUUGUAUUGUAAUGAAAUUUUUAAUGUUUCAGAUAUUGAAAGCACCCAUUUAAAAUGGUCCUGUGAGCCUUCACACAAUAAUGAUACGACAUGUACUCAUACAACCAUUAUGAGACUUGCACUACAAUACUCUACAAGAUUCAAAGCUGAGACAACCAGGCAAGAAUUGUGAAAACCGCAAAAAAGCAGAUGUCAAAAAUCUGCUCAACUUGCAAGAAUAAAACACCGAAUCAAUAAAAAUAUAUGGGGGGCAGAAUAAAUGUUAGAGCAGUAGUCAAUAAAUUCAGACAUCACACCUACUACUCAGGCCAAAAACCGCCUUAAGCACUUAUUUCAGACCAUCAUUU